CUCUAUGGUCAUUCCACCCUGAACGCGCCAGAUCUCAUCUGAUCUCGGAAGCUAAGCAGGGUCAGGCCUCGUAGUACUUGGAUGGGAGACAACUACCUAAUUUAUUUUUUAACAAUUAUACCUAGAUUACUAAUGAAA
rnacentral:rRNA from 1 species